UAAUGAAAAUAGAAAAGGGCAGUUGCGGAAACAACUACCCAAUGCAGAACCGUUUAAGACGGUGGCAGAAAAUAACCGUUAAAAAAUA
rnacentral:sRNA from 1 species